UACGAGGGGUGCAAGCGUUAAUCGGAAUUACUGGGCGUAAAGCGCGCGUAGGUGGUUCAGUAAGUUGGAUGUGAAAUCCCCGGGCUCAACCUGGGAACUGCAUCCAAAACUGCUGAGCUAGAGUACGGUAGAGGGUGGUGGAAUUUCCUGUGUAGCGGUGAAAUGCGUAGAUAUAGGAAGGAACACCAGUGGCGAAGGCGACCACCUGGACUGAUACUGACACUGAGGUGCGAAAGCGUGGGGAGCAAACAGG
rnacentral:rRNA from 1 species